GGAGAGAUGGCCGAGUGGUUUAAGGCAUAGCAUUAGAAUUGCUAUGUAGGCUUUUGUUUACCAAGGAUUUGAAUCCCUCUCUUUCCG
rnacentral:tRNA from 1 species